GACGAACGCUGGCGGCGUGCUUAACACAUGCCAGUCGAACGGAAAGGCCCUGCUUGCAGGGUACACGAGUGGCGAACGGGUGUGUAACACGUGGGUGAUCUGCCCUGCACUUCGGGAUAAGCCUGGGAAACUGGGUAUAAUACCGGAUAGGAGCCAAUUUUAGUGUGAUGGUUGGAAAGUUUUUUCGGUGUAGGAUGAGCUCGCGGCCUAUCGGCUUGUUGGUGGGGUAAUGGCCUACCAAGGCGGCGACGGGUAGCCGGCCUGAGAGGGUGGACAGCCACAUUGGGACGGAGAUACGGCCCAGACGCCGUCGGGAGGAAGCAGUGGGGAAUAUUGCACAAGGGGCGCAAGGCUGAUGCAGCGACGCCGCUUGGAGGAUGACUGCCUUGGGGUUGUAAGCGCCGUUCGCUAGGGACGAAGCGUUUUGUGACGGUACCUAGAGAAGAAGCACCGGCUAACUACGUG
rnacentral:rRNA from 1 species